AGAUGAGCCCGCGUACCAUUAGCUUGUUGGUAGGGUAAUGGCCUACCAAGGCUACGAUGGUUAGCUGGUCUGAGAGGAUGAUCAGCCACACUGGAACUGACACACGGUCCAGACUCCUACGGGAGGCAGCAGUGAGGAAUUUUGCGCAAUGGGGGAAACCCUGACGCAGCAACGCCGCGUGAGUGAUGAAGGCUUUCGGGUCGUAAAGCUCUGUCAAGUGGAAAGAAACUGCCAUAUGCAAAUACCAUGUGGCACUGACGGUACCACUGAAGGAAGCACCGGCUAACUCCGUGCCAGCAGCCGCGGUAAUACGGGGGGUGCUAGCGUUAUUCGGAAUCAUUGGGCGUAAAGGGCGCGUAGGCGGUCGUUUAAGUCAGAUGUGAAAGCCCUCGGCUUAACCGGGGAAGUGCAUUUGAUACUAGACGACUUGAGUAUGGGAGAGGGAAGCGGAAUUCCUGGUGUAGCGGUGAAAUGCGUAGAUAUCAGGAGGAACACCGGUGGCGAAGGCGGCUUCCUGGACCAAUACUGACGCUGAGGCGCGAAGGCGUGGGGAGCAAACAGGAUUAGAUACCCUGGUAGUCCACGCAGUAAACGGUGUACACUAGGUGUAGCGGGUAUUGACCCCUGCUGUGCCGAAGCUAACGCCAUUAA
rnacentral:rRNA from 1 species